CAAGUCAAAGUUUGGGAUUUCAAACUUUGAACGGGUUUUCCGGUCACCUCCGGCGUCCGUUUGACGAGAGGUUUUCACCACUACACUCAGCUCGUCGAGGAGAACAACCUACACUAAACCAUUUUUCCCGGUUCGCAACUUUUUCCGGUGACAUUUUUGUAGCUCCGCCCCUUUCCGGCGACUUUCCGGUGACCUCGUGUACCGUUUUGACAAACGGUUGGCAUGAGUGUGAUCUACUCGUCGAGGUGGUCGUUUUGAUAUAUACUACUCCUAUUUUCGGCGAUAUUUCCGGUACACCAAUUUUUACCGCCACCGAUUGUUAAUGUGCACCGCUUAGGUGAGAGUAAUAUGUAAGUUUGGACUAAACAAUUGGAGCUCGGGACUUGAGAGCUUAAGAUCGUCUUUUGAAAAAAAAAGUUUAACGACUCGGGAGAGACCUAAGAAAAUGCCUCCAAAAGGAAAGAAGACAAGGAGAACGGUUGGAGAAGACGCCCCUCAAGCUAAUGUCCAACCUCCACAAGCUGAAUUCCCUAUGAACGCCCUUCUCGAAGCCUUAAGAGCUAUUCCCGCUCAACAAAUGGAUCCUGCCGCUCGACAAAGUCAUCAUUUUGAGAUCUUUCAUCGAAUCCAAGUGCCUGAGUUUGAGGGUGGACAGGAUCCCAUGGUAGCUGAAAGGUGGUUGAGGCAGAUAAAGAAAAAUUUCAACACAAUAGGAACACCUGAGGAAUACCAAGU